rnacentral:rRNA from 1 species
GUGACCUCAAAUCAGGUAGGACUACCCGCUGAACUUAAGCAUAUCAAUAAGCGGAGGAAAAGAAACUAACAAGGAUUCCCCUAGUAACUGCGAGUGAAGCGGGAAAAGCUCAAAUUUAAAAUCUGGCAGUCUUUGGCUGUCCGAGUUGUAAUCUAGAGAAGCAUUAUCCGCGCUGGACCGUGUACAAGUCUCCUGGAAUGGAGCGUCAUAGAGGGUGAGAAUCCCGUCUUUGACACGGACUGCCAGGGCUUUUGUGAUGUGCUCUCAAAGAGUCGAGUUGUUUGGGAAUGCAGCUCAAAAUGGGUGGUAAAUUCCAUCUAAAGCUAAAUAUUGGCGAGAGACCGAUAGCGAACAAGUACCGUGAGGGAAAGAUGAAAAGAACUUUGGAAAGAGAGUUAAACAGUACGUGAAAUUGCUGAAAGGGAAACGCUUGAAGUCAGUCGCGUUGUCCAGGGAUCAACUCUUGCUUUUGCUUGGUGUAUUUUCUGGUUAACGGGUCAGCAUCAAUUUCGACUAUUGGAAAAAGAUCAAGGGAAUGUGGCAUCUUUAGAUGUGUUAUAGCCCUUGGUUGCAUACAUUAGUUGGGAUUGAGGAACUCAGCACGCCGAAAGGCCGAGUGUUUAACUACGUACGUGCUUAGGAUGCUGGCAAAAUGGCUUUAAUCGACCCGUC